CUGAGUGGGAAACGAAACAAGACAGAUCCGGGGCUCAACGUUUUAAUGUGUACAUCUACUGGAGGAAAACAUUAGUAAAUGCAACUACCAAAUCUUUAGUAGUUGAAACAUUGGUAAAAUGAACUGUAAUGUGCGUACUUCGCAGUCGUCAUUCCUCUUGAUGAAACAAAGCUAUUCGGAGCUUCUAAUCUUGGAUUAAAAUUGCACAGUUGACUAUUCAAUGUAUAUUAGACUGAGCAUGUGCAACACAAAGAAAUCUCAGGAAACGGGAGAGCAAAUAAUGCGGAUGAGAUGUACUGCGAUCUGGUCCCAUCAACUGCCAACUAAUCAGUUGUUCCUGUCCUAAAGGAUGAAAAUGUGCAACAGUAAAAGGAGCAAACCUUGAUGAGUGAGGGUUUGAAAAAACAUAUGAGAUUGAUUCGGUCGAGGCUGCGAUUAAAUCUGCACGAGCAAUGUUUAGAUGUAGAAUGUAGGAUGUAGGAAAUUACUGUGUAAAAGAUAAUGUAUGAUUGAGGACAGCUUUUUAAAUAAGAAUUAAUUAUCAACAACAUAAUGUCAUUAUCCCUUAUCAUUAUCUCUUACAAAUGAAAAACAACGUUUUCACUGAUGCUGCUCCAAUGGUGGGCCAACAUGCCCACCAUCCUUCAAAAAUAAUGCCUACCAAUAUCCUUUUGUAAGAUAUACCAAUGAUUAGUAGGGUAGAAAAUGACUAACGAAUUGGUAACAUUUACGAAAAAAAUCGUCAUAUAUACUAAAUUUUCCUCUCAGUGUACACGUUGUGAAACAAUAAUAGUAAAUUAUACAAACCGAUACUACAUGAGCAUGACUCGUGUUUUGUUAGACGUUUCGUUCGGUUUAUGACCAGGAAAUGUAUUUAAGUGGAAAUUAUCAUUUAGAGCUCGAGAGUUAUUCUCUA